rnacentral:snoRNA from 1 species
CGCCGAUGAUGAUCCCGCCAUGCUAAUACUGAUGCACCAGACUGACGGUGUGUCUCUCUGGGUGCAAGUGAGUUAGCCUCACUUUCUCAUACUGACUGGAUCAGUGUGUGCUGAGGAGA